GUAAUUGCCUAGUCACGAUUGCUUCAGAAGCAAGUCGUGUCGACUUAGUUGGAAAGGAAGGGUUUAUAAUAGCUGUGGAAAUCAUUGGAGAGGCCAUCAAGAAUCAAAUGAAGGAUGAGGAAUUGAUCUUGAAUUGUAGUUGGUAUAGAGAAUUUUGUGUUGUUGACAUGAAACGAACACUUACAAUUGCUGGAUCACCAAAGUUUAAUUUGUAUGAUGUUGAUUUUGGUUGGGGUAGGCCAGAAAAAAUAGAGAUCAUUUCUAUUGAUAAUAGUAGUGGUAUAUCUAUGUCCAUUAGCAAGUACAAAGAUUCAGAUGGAGAUUUAGAGGUUGGCUUGUCUUUGCCUAAAAUUAGAAUGAGUGCUUUUGCUGCUACAUUCGACCAUGGGCUAAGCUUUUUGUAAGAAUGUACCAAGGUUUAUCGGAAAAUUUAUUACUAUAGAAUCGUGGAUUGUAAUUCAAGAAUGCCAAAAUAUAUGGGCAUUAAUUGAUGUAUUAUUGAAUUGGUUUCUUUUGAGUGGGGACGUUUUUUUAUUGAACCCGUAUAUCUUUGAUAGUUGAGGUGAUUAUAUGUCAUGCCGAUCUUCGAUUAAUUGAGAUGCAUCAUUAUCCUUUUUUAUUGAUAUUAUAUUGUCCACAUGCAUUGACAUGAGAUUGAAUAUGAGUAAAGGUCUGGAAAGUAUUUAGUUAGAAAAAUUAUAUUGUCAUUGAAGGUAAAUAUUUUUUUAAUAUAGCAUAUUUAUGUGAUAUACCCAAAAGGAAAUCAAACUAAUUUAAUCCAACAAGAUCCAAUUCAACUAUAAAGAUGAAAAGCAUUUUUCACCUCAACUUGAUUAAAGUCGCCCAAAAAACACCAUACAUCAAUUGAUUUUGCAGAUUACCAGACUCUUCUGCCACUAAUUUUUUUCACUACAACUUGUGCAACUUUAUUGCUGAUACAACAAAUAUAUUAAUGCAUACACAUUUCUAUAUAAUAGAAAAAAAAUAAAAUAGAUGUUUAAGUUCAUAUAUACUUUGGAUCUAAACUAUACAUUUUAUUUAUAUUAAGCAAUAUAUGUGAAACUUGAAUUUAAGCUACCGCUUCAUAGAAAGUUAUUGAAGCUGAGAGCCUAAUUCCAUCUUGGUAACUCUUUACGUGGUUCAGCUCUCAGCAAGACAACUUUCGAUUGUCCACAUUAAAGAAUGACAGAGGCCUCCUUUUGAGAGCUGGAAAAAAAAAAUCGAAGCUUUUCGUCUAAAUAUAUCACAACCUCUUGAACAAACUGGAUAUUAAUAAUGUAAAACACACAUUAAUCAAGAUAAAAUUUUCAACAGGUAAAAUCACAAGUCAUAGCUCCACGAUAUGUAGGUUUCUUUUGGUCUUGCAACUCUUGCAAAAUAUUUAGAUUUAGACGGAGACCACAAUGUGAAUUUUAAUCAUUUUCUGAUCUUUGAACGCAUCAGAAAGUCCAAAGGCAAGCAAUAUGAGAAAAAAGGACAUAAAUUAGCUAUCAGGAUAGUGGCAUUGAAUAUUUAGCUUUCUCAGGUGUUUGCAACUUAUUAAGGGCAUAAUUCUAAUGCGUAUCAAGAUAAAUUUUCUUGGGUCUUUGCAGCUUAUUAAGAGUGCUUCGGUAGUUGAGCAUGAGGUAAGAGUAAGAUCACAAACAUACAACUGAAAGGGCAAUAAUAACCAAUCCAACUGCUAUCCGAUUAAUAACACAAUUUUUGUUACUUUUUCAUUCUUCGAAACUCAAUGUCAUAAUGUGAAAGAUAAAUCAUAUUGUAUCAAAGUAGAUGAAACAAACACGAAAACAUAAGAAAAAAGGUAGUUGGAGAAAACCUUGAACGCGCGUGGUCAAUGCAUUAACGUGAAAAGAGCCAAUAUCUAACUCAUUAACCUACUAAUUGAAUCAAAACUUACUAAUGGUCUUGGUUAUCUAGCUCUCCAUCAAUUCCCUCUUAUAGUACUCUUAUCUCCAGUGUCAAGAUAUGUUUUUUUGAGGUGACGCAUACAUUUUUGAGAAUGAUCGAUGCAUAAUCACAGCUCUCCCUUUGGCUUAAAUUCCAACCUAGAAAUCCUGACUUUGCUGCCAAUGGAGUUCUUAUUGAGCGUCGAAGCUAACUGCAGUUCAAAUACAAAUGCAAUUCCUAAUUAAUAAUGUGCACAAAAGUUAGAAGAAGAUAGCAAUAUCUGAUUAGAAAAGUUAAUCCUUGCUACAACUUCAUUUUAUCAUCAUCAAAUUUUGGCAAUAUGCAGAGGACCAACCACACAUUUCAAAUAGUAAUUAUGUCGCUUAGGUUAGUAUUAGUUUAUAUGCAAGAGUUCAAAAUCUAUUCACAAUUUUCAUCGAUGUUUCCCAACCAACACAGUCAAAGAAUGACAAUGUCAUCCUCUAGAGGUUCCAUUUACUUUUAAUCUAUUGGAUCUUAGUUUUUCUCCCUCUAUCUUCAUGGUUACGUUAAUUUCUCUACCCCUUAGCUUGGUGCAGGUCUAUUUCUAGAUCUGACCAUAUAUAUUGCAAAUCUAACUUAUUUUGCUAUGCUAUUGUUGGUAGCAGAGUUGUCGCUUCAAUCUACUAUAAUUAUGAAAUUACUUCUAAGUUCUAACUACCACACCACUUGUUGUGACACCUCUAUUUGGAUAGAUAUCUAGAUAUGAAGCAAUUGUCAUUUUGUUGCAGGAUGGUAUAGAGUUGAAUACCAGAAUAUUGGAUGCACAGAUGUUGUUAUUAUACCAAAGUUUAAUUUGUAUGAUGUUGAUUUUGGUUGGGGUAGGCCAGAAAAAAUAGAGAUCAUUUCUAUUGAUAAUAGUAGUGGUAUAUCUAUGUCCAUUAGCAAGUACAAAGAUUCAGAUGGAGAUUUAGAGAUUGGCUUGUCUUUGCCUAAAAUUCGAAUGACUGCUUCUGCUGCUAUAUUCGACCAUGGGCUAAGCUUUUUGUAAGAAUGUACCAAGGUCUAUCGGACAAUUUAUUUCUAUAGAAUCGUGGAUUGUAAUUUAAGAAUGCCAAAACAUAUGGGCAUUAAUUGAUGUAUUAUUGAUUUGGUUUCUUUUGUGAGGGG
rnacentral:lncRNA from 1 species